rfam:Ovis aries breed Texel chromosome 6, whole genome shotgun sequence.
UCCCUGGUGAUCCACUGGUUAGGACUCUGCACUUCCACUGCAGGGAGCACGGAUUCAAUCCCUGGUCAGGGAA